rnacentral:tRNA from 1 species
ACGCCCGGUAUGCCGGCCGGCGGCCGCACUCGCUCUCCGGCGGCGAGCAGCAGCGGGUCGCGCUCGCCCGGGCGCUC